rnacentral:rRNA from 1 species
AUUGAACGCUGGCGGCAGGCUUAACACAUGCAAGUCGAGCGGAGCGAGGGUGCUUGCACCUUAGCUUAGCGGCGGACGGGUGAGUAAUGCUUAGGAAUCUGCCUAUUAGUGGGGGACAACAUUCCGAAAGGAAUGCUAAUACCGCAUACGCCCUACGGGGGAAAGCAGGGGAUCUUCGGACCUUGCGCUAAUAGAUGAGCCUAAGUCGGAUUAGCUAGUUGGUGGGGUAAAGGCCUACCAAGGCGACGAUCUGUAGGGGGUCUGAGAGGAUGAUCCGCCACACUGGGACUGAGACACGGCCCAGACUCCUACGGGAGGCAGCAGUGGGGAGUAUUGGACAAUGGGCGGAAGCCUGAUCCAGCCAUGCCGCGUGUGUGAAGAAGGCCUUUUGGUUGUAAAGCACUUUAAGCGAGGAGGAGGCUACUUAGAUUAAUACUCUGGGAUAGUGGACGUUACUCGCAGAAUAAGCACCGGCUAACUCUGUGCCAGCCGCCGCGGUAA